rnacentral:rRNA from 1 species
UCGGGAAUUUUGGGCAAUGGGCGAAAGCCUGACCCAGCAACGCCGCGUGAAGGAUGAAGUAUUUCGGUAUGUAAACUUCGAAAGAAUAGGAAGAAUAAAUGACGGUACUAUUUAUAAGGUCCGGCUAACUACGUGCCAGCAGCCGCGGUAAUACGUAGGGACCAAGCGUUGUUCGGAUUUACUGGGCGUAAAGGGCACGUAGGCGGCAAUUCAAGUCAUCUGUGAAAUCUCCGGGCUUAACCCGGAACGGUCAGAUGAUACUGCUUUGCUAGAGUGCAGAAGGGGCAAUCGGAAUUCUUGGUGUAGCGGUGAAAUGCGUAGAUAUCAAGAGGAACACCUGAGGUGAAGACGGGUUGCUGGGCUGACACUGACGCUGAGGCGCGAAAGCCAGGGGAGCAAACGGGAUUAGAUACCCAGGUAGUCCCUGAGCGGGCUGGCAAGGCGCAU